rnacentral:rRNA from 1 species
GAUGAACGCUGGCGGUAUGCUUAACACAUGCAAGUCGAACGGACUCUUCGGAGUUAGUGGCGGACGGGUGAGUAACGCGUGAGAAUCUGGCUUUGGGUUCGGGACAACCACUGGAAACGGUGGCUAAUACCGGAUGUGCCGAGAGGUAAAAGAGAAAUUGCCUGAAGAUGAGCUCGCGUCUGAUUAGCUAGUUGGUGAGGUAAAGGCUCACCAAGGCAGCGAUCAGUAGCUGGUCUGAGAGGAUGACCAGCCACACUGGGACUGAGACACGGCCCAGACUCCUACGGGAGGCAGCAGUGGGGAAUUUUCCGCAAUGGGCGAAAGCCUGACGGAGCAAUACCGCGUGAGGGAAGAAGGCUCUUGGGUUGUAAACCUCUUUUCUUAGGGAAGAACAAAAUGACGGUACCUAAGGAAUCAGCAUCGGCUAACUCCGUG